rnacentral:rRNA from 1 species
AGCGGCAAGAGCUCAAAUUUGAAAGCUGGCUCCUUCGGGGUCCGCAUUGUAAUUUGUAGAGGAUGCUUCGGGAGCGGUCCCCAUCUAAGUGCCCUGGAACGGGACGUCAUAGAGGGUGAGAAUCCCGUAUGGGAUGGGGUGUCCGCGCCCGUGUGAAGCUCCUUCGACGAGUCGAGUUGUUUGGGAAUGCAGCUCUAAAUGGGUGGUAAAUUUCAUCUAAAGCUAAAUAUUGGCCGGAGACCGAUAGCGCACAAGUAGAGUGAUCGAAAGAUGAAAAGCACUUUGAAAAGAGAGUUAAAAAGCACGUGAAAUUGUUGAAAGGGAAGCGCUUGCGACCAGACUCGCUCGCGGGGUUCAGCCGGCAUUCGUGCCGGUGUACUUCCCCGCGGGCGGGCCAGCGUCGGUUUGGGCGGUCGGUCAAAGGCCCUCGGAAGGUAACGCCCCUAGGGGCGUCUUAUAGCCGAGGGUGCAAUGCGACCUGCCUAGACCGAGGAACGCGCUUCGGCUCGGACGCUGGCAUAAUGGUCGUAAACGACCCGUC